AACGAACGCUGGCGGCGUGCCUAAUACAUGCAAGUCGAACGAGAACGGUUCCUUCGGGAGCUUAUUAAAGUGGCGGACGGGUGAGUAACACGUGAACAACGUACCUUCGAGUGGGGGACAACUAUUAGAAAUGAUAGCUAAUACCGCAUAAGACCACACUGUCUACGGGCAGAGGGGUCAAAGCCUUCGGGCGCUUGAAGAUCGGUUCGCGUCCCAUUAGUUAGUUGGUGAGGUAAUGGCUCACCAAGACGAAGAUGGGUAGCUGGUCUGAGAGGAUGAUCAGCCACACUGGGACUGAGACACGGCCCAGACUCCUACGGGAGGCAGCAGUAGGGAAUCUUGCGCAAUGGACGAAAGUCUGACGCAGCAACGCCGCGUGUGUGAUGAAGGCCCUUGGGUCGUAAAGCACUGUCAGGAGGGAAGAAGAUCUGACGUGUACCUCCAAAGGAAGCACCGGCUAACUCCG
rnacentral:rRNA from 1 species